ACAGGCUUAACACAUGCAAGUCGAGGGGCAGCAUGGUCUUAGCUUGCUAAGGCCGAUGGCGACCGGCGCACGGGUGAGUAACACGUAUCCAACCUGCCGUCUACUCUUGGACAGCCUUCUGAAAGGAAGAUUAAUACAAGAUGGCAUCAUGAGUCCGCAUGUUCACAUGAUUAAAGGUAUUCCGGUAGACGAUGGGGAUGCGUUCCAUUAGAUAGUAGGCGGGGUAACGGCCCACCUAGUCUUCGAUGGAUAGGGGUUCUGAGAGGAAGGUCCCCCACAUUGGAACUGAGACACGGUCCAAACUCCUACGGGAGGCAGCAGUGAGGAAUAUUGGUCAAUGGGCGAGAGCCUGAACCAGCCAAGUAGCGUGAAGGAUGACUGCCCUAUGGGUUGUAAACUUCUUUUAUAAAGGAAUAAAGUCGGGUAUGGAUACCCGUUUGCAUGUACUUUAUGAAUAAGGAUCGGCUAACUCCGUGCCAGCAGCCGCGGUAAUACGGAGGAUCCGAGCGUUAUCCGGAUUUAUUGGGUUUAAAGGGAGCGUAGAUGGAUGUUUAAGUCAGUUGUGAAAGUUUGCGGCUCAACCGUAAAAUUGCAGUUGAUACUGGAUAUCUUGAGUGCAGUUGAGGCAGGCGGAAUUCGUGGUGUAGCGGUGAAAUGCUUAGAUAUCACGAAGAACUCCGAUUGCGAAGGCAGCCUGCUAAGCUGCAACUGACAUUGAGGCUCGAAAGUGUGGGUAUCAAACAGGAUUAGAUACCCUGGUAGUCCACACGGUAAACGAUGAAUACUCGCUGUUUGCGAUAUACUGCAAGCGGCCAAGCGAAAGCGUUAAGUAUUCCACCUGGGGAGUACGCCGGCAACGGUGAAACUCAAAGGAAUUGACGGGGGCCCGCACAAGCGGAGGAACAUGUGGUUUAAUUCGAUGAUACGCGAGGAACCUUACCCGGGCUUAAAUUGCAGAUGAAUUACGGUGAAAGCCGUAAGCCGCAAGGCAUCUGUGAAGGUGCUGCAUGGUUGUCGUCAGCUCGUGCCGUGAGGUGUCGGCUUAAGUGCCAUAACGAGCGCAACCCUUGUUGUCAGUUACUAACAGGUUCCGCUGAGGACUCUGACAAGACUGCCAUCGUAAGAUGUGAGGAAGGUGGGGAUGACGUCAAAUCAGCACGGCCCUUACGUCCGGGGCUACACGCGUGUUACAAUGGGGGGUACAGAGGGCCGCUACCACGCGAGUGGAUGCCAAUCCCAAAAACCUCUCUCAGUUCGGACUGGAGUCUGCAACCCGACUCCACGAAGCUGGAUUCGCUAGUAAUCGCGCAUCAGCCACGGCGCGGUGAAUACGUUCCCGGGCCUUGUACACACCGCCCGUCAAGCCAUGGGAGCCGGGGGUACCUGAAGUGCGUAACCGCGAGGAGCGCCCUAGGGUAAAACUGGUGACUGGGGCUAAGUAGU
rnacentral:rRNA from 1 species